rnacentral:rRNA from 1 species
GACGAACGCUGGCGGCGUGCUUAACACAUGCAAGUCGAACGGAAAGGCCCCUUUGGGGGUCCUCGAGUGGCGAACGGGUGAGUAACACGUGAGUAACCUGCCCUUGACUUCGGGAUAACUUCAGGAAACUGGGGCUAAUACCGGAUAGGAAUCCUUGCUGCAUGGUGGGGGUUGGAAAGCUUCGGCGGUUUUGGAUGGACUCGCGGCUUAUCAGCUUGUUGGUGGGGUAGUGGCUUACCAAGGCGUUGACGGGUAGCCGGCCUGAGAGGGCGACCGGCCACAUUGGGACUGAGAUACGGCCCAGACUCCUACGGGAGGCAGCAGUGGGGAAUAUUGCACAAUGGGCGGAAGCCUGAUGCAGCAACGCCGCGUGCGGGAUGACGGCCUUCGGGUUGUAAACCGCUUUCAGCAGGGGCGAAGCUUGUGGUGACGGUACCUGCAGAAGAAGCACCGGCUAACUACGUG